ACCCGCUGAACUUAAGCAUAUCAAUAAGCGGAGGAAAAGAAACCAACAGGGAUUGCCCUAGUAACGGCGAGUGAAGCGGCAACAGCUCAAAUUUGAAAUCUGGCUCUUUUAGAGUCCGAGUUGUAAUUUGCAGAGGGCGCUUUGGCUUUGGCAGCGGUCCAAGUUCCUUGGAACAGGACGUCACAGAGGGUGAGAAUCCCGUACGUGGUCGCUGGCUAUUGCCGUGUAAAGCCCCUUCGACGAGUCGAGUUGUUUGGGAAUGCAGCUCUAAAUGGGAGGUACAUUUCUUCUAAAGCUAAAUAUUGGCCAGAGACCGAUAGCGCACAAGUAGAGUGAUCGAAAGAUGAAAAGCACUUUGGAAAGAGAGUCAAACAGCACGUGAAAUUGUUGAAAGGGAAGCGCUUGCAGCCAGACUUGCUUACAGUUGCUCAUCCGGGCUUUUGCCCGGUGCACUCUUCUGUAGGCAGGCCAGCAUCAGUUUGGGCGGUAGGAUAAAGGUCUCUGUCACGUACCUCUCUUCGGGAGGCCUUAUAGGGGAGACGACAUACUACCAGCCUGGACUGAGGUCCGCGCAUCUGCUAGGAUGCUGGCGUAAUGGCUGU
rnacentral:rRNA from 1 species